UUUUUUUUUUUUUUUGGACAAUGCCGUUUUGGCCAAUACAAUUCCCAGGGAUAGAAAAUUGCAUUAGGAUUAGUAUCUUUUAAUAUCAGCAGAACAAGAGAUCUACUCUGGGCUUUAGCCUGAACCUUUGUUGGAAUAUUACUCCAAUAGCAUGUCUUCCUGUGUUUAGGUGCCAGUGGGACAGCCUAAAAGAGGAAGAGGAAGACCUAAAGGAAGGAAAUACAAGAGUCCAUCUCAAGCAGCUCAAAAGCAACCAACAGGAGAGCCAACUCCUAAAAGAGGAAGAGGAAGACCUAAAGGAAGUAGAAAGAAAAGUCUACCUAUAACAGCUCAGCAGGGAUAGCAAGUGGAGGCUCAUGAACAAAAAAAAAAAGUCAACUCUGGAUGCAUUUUAGAAGAAAGAAGGUUCAAAACGUUUGUUUUUUAUACAGGGUUUCCUUGAGCGGGUUGUUUUCAUUUCAUAUGUUCCUGUUUUAAAUAAGUUGGUUGAAAAUUGCUGAUCUGCUCUUUUUUGUGGGGUACAAACCUAUUCCUUUCCAUGUUAUUUUGCCUCUGGUGCUAGUUUUUCUGUUCAGGAAGUAAUGCCCAGGGAACGUCUGUUUUGUAUGCCUGUAUUUGUCUCAUGCAUCCCAGAGUAAUGGGUUAAUCCUCUAAAAAAAGAGGGGGGGGGGAUCAGAAGUAGAAAAAUCUCUUUAACGUAUUUUGCUUCCUAAAUAAAACAGUGCAUGGUUUUUCAAAA